UUACCCACUAGGCUCCUACCACCCAAGAUGAUCAAGAUGGCGGUUCACCCAGGGCGAGGCUCAGCCAUUGCACUUUGGCUGUGCUGAGCCCUGCGAAUUCCCCAAAUGUGGGAAUCUCGACUGCAUAAGUGGUGGCCUAGCGGUUAAGGAAGCAGCCCCAUA
ensembl:snRNA U1 U1 spliceosomal RNA